AACCGUGUCAUUUUCUCAUCAUUUCUAAAUACAGCUGUUCUGCGGAGAAUAGAAAAAUCAAUACGGUACAUGGAGCUCACCUGUUUUUUGGUUCUGGACCACAGGUUCUCACACGCUCUCUAACUUCUAAAAUUCAUCUAUGAUUUGGGAAAAUCCUAUCAGAAAUAAAGCUAUUAACUAUUGUGCCUAUGGUUCCUAAAAUUGCACUGAUCUGGACUUAAG